ACGCUCGACACCUACGGGAGGUAGCAGUGGGGAAUAUUGCACAAUGGGGGAAACCCUGAUGCAGCGACGCCGCGUGAGUGAAGAAGUAUUUCGGUAUGUAAAGCUCUAUCAGCAGGGAAGAGAAUGACGGUACCUGACUAAGAAGCCCCGGCUAACUACGUGCCAGUAGCCGCGGUAAUCUGAGCGGGCUGGCAAGGC
rnacentral:rRNA from 1 species